rnacentral:rRNA from 1 species
CAAUAGCGUAUAUUAAAGUUGUUGCAGUUAUAAAGCUCGUAGUUGGAUUUCUGGUUGAAGCGACCGGUCGGGCGUUGAUUCGUCUGCACUGGAGUCAGUUUUGGCCAUCCUCUAGGAAAGUGCGUCUGGUAUUAAGUUAUCGGGCGUAUGAUCCUGGUCUUUUACUGUGAAAAAAUUAGAGUGUUUAAAGCAGGCCUUCGCCUUGAAUACAUUAGCAUGGAAUAAUAAGAUAGGACUUUGGUCUAUUUUGUUGGUUUGCAGACCGAAGUAAUGAUUAAUAGGGAUAGUUGGGGGUAUUUAUAUUCCGAUGUCAGAGGUGAAAUUCUUAGAUUUUCGGAAGAUAAACUUAUGCGAAAGCAUUUACCAAGGAUGUUUUCAUUA